rnacentral:rRNA from 1 species
GACAGAGGCCUCAAGCGUUAGGCGGAAUCACUGGGCUUAAAGCGUGUGUAGGCGGAUCGUUAAGUGCCUUGUGAAAUCCCCACGGCUUAACUGUGGAACGGCUGGGCAUACUGGCGGUCUUGAGCCAUCUAGGGGGCGACUGGAACAAACGGUGGAGCGGUGAAAAUGCGUAGAUAUCGUUUGGAACGCCAAUGGUGAAAACAGGUCGCUGGGGAUGAGCUGACG